rnacentral:rRNA from 13 species
NCUUACGGCCACACCGGCCUGAGUACGCCUGAUCUCGUCCGAUCUCGGAAGCUAAGCAGGGUCGGGCCUGGUUAGUACUUGGAUGGGAGACCGCCUGGGAAUACCAGGUGCUGUAAGCU